UAUAGAGGUAAACUAAGUAUAAGUUUUUUGGUUCAUGCCCAGAAUAUGGUUCCAAUUGUUGUUCCUCUCUAUAU
rnacentral:tRNA from 1 species